rnacentral:rRNA from 1 species
CUCAGUUCGGAUCGGAGUCUGCAACCCGACUCCGUGAAGCUGGAUUCGCUAGUAAUCGCGCAUCAGCCAUGGCGCGGUGAAUACGUUCCCGGGCCUUGUACACACCGCCCGUCAAGCCAUGGGAGCCGGGGGUACCUGAAGUCCGUAACCGCGAGGAUCGGCCUAGGGUAAAACUGGUGACUGGGGCUAAGUCGUAACAAGGUAGC